ACCUUCUCCCGCAUUUCUCUUUCACUUUCCGGGAGGAACUGUUCGUUCGUCGUGCGCCCAUCGCAACCGACCUGUAUCUGUAUGUAUCCUCUCAUUUCUCUCUAAUAACCUACUUCUCUUCAAU
ensembl:ncRNA F44D12.17 ncRNA